rnacentral:rRNA from 1 species
CCUACGGGUGGCAGCAGUGGGGAAUUUUGCGCAAUGGGCGAAAGCCUGACGCAGCAACGCCGCGUGUGUGAUGAAGGUCUUCGGAUUGUAAAGCACUUUCGGCCGGGACGAAAAAGCGGGUGCUAAUCAGCCCGCCUUGACGGUACCGGAAGAAGAAGCACCGGCUAACUCUGUGCCAGCAGCCGCGGUAAUACAGAGGGUGCAAGCGUUGUUCGGAAUUAUUGGGCGUAAAGCGCGUGUAGGCGGCUUGGCAAGUCGGGUGUGAAAGCCCUCAGCUCAACUGAGGAAGUGCGCCCGAAACUGCUGAGCUUGAGUGCCGGAGAGGGUGGCGGAAUUCCCCAAGUAGAGGUGAAAUUCGUAGAUAUGGGGAGGAACACCGGUGGCGAAGGCGGCCACCUGGACGGUGACUGACGCUGAGACGCGAAAGCGUGGGGAGCAAA